CAAGAGCGUAUAUUAAAGUUGUUGCAGUUAAAAAGCUCGUAGUUGGAUUUCUGGUACAACGCGCCUGGCCCGCUUUUGUGAGUGCCGGUGCGCGUUUGCCAUCCUUCUAGAAAACGUUUCUACCCGGGUAACUGGGCCGGACUCGCGAUCUAGAUCUUUACUUGAAAAAAUUAGAGUGUUUAAAGCAGGCUUUUGCUGUGAAUACAUUAGCAUGGAAUAAUGAUCUAGGACUUCGGAACUAUUUUGUUGGUUUGCGUUACGAAGUAAUGAUUAAUAGGGACAGUUGGGGGUAUUCGUAUUUCAUUGUCAGAGGUGAAAUUCUUGGAUUUCUGAAAGACGAACUACUGCGAAAGCAUUUACCAAGGAUGUUUUCAUUAAUCAAGAACGAAAGUUAGGGGAUCGAAGAUGAUUAGAUACCA
rnacentral:rRNA from 1 species